UACGUAGGGGGCUAGCGUUGCUCGGAAUCACUGGGCGUAAAGCGCACGUAGGCGGCUUUUUAAGUCAGGGGUGAAAUCCUGGAGCUCAACUCCAGAACUGCCUUUGAUACUGAGAAGCUUGAGUCCGGGAGAGGUGAGUGGAACUGCGAGUGUAGAGGUGAAAUUCGUAGAUAUUCGCAAGAACACCCGUGGCGAAGGCGGCUCACUGGCCCGAUACUGACGCUGAGGUGCGAAAGCGUGGGGAGCAAACAGG
rnacentral:rRNA from 1 species